GCACAUCGGUCUCGGGGCGUUACACCUGCGCCGGCCGGUUCGAGCGCACGCCGCCGACCGAGACCAGAUGCUCAUCACGCUCCUCUCCGCCGCGGGAAACGGCCAGGAGGAGGAGGACGCGCGGGAGGCGGAGCAGCGUUCGAUCCGGCCGAGGCUUAUGGCGACACGGACGCGGAGGCUCUGGCCGCGCUCGCUGCGCUCCCUCCGUUCACUACCUUCCCGAUGGCUUUCUCUGUUCAAUUGCUUAAUUUGGUUGUCUUGUCUUACCUGAACUGCAAGGGAACCAACAUACAUGGCAUGAUGGAUGGAGAUCAGUAGAUGUUUUUUUUGUUCUGUUCACAUGCUUUCUAAUAGUUUCCAUAGGAUAAUAGGCAUGAGCUUUGAGCAAUAGGCAUAAAUCUGUUGUAAUCAAUCAAAGGCAGUGAGAAUGUUUACUGAAAUCUUUAGAAGUGGGGAUCCUCUGAAUUGCUUUGAUUGAACGUCCAACGAGGAUCUCAUCUUAUAGUAACUCUGAAACAUUGUAUUGGUAGUUUUUAUCUUUACACUUUUGCCUUCUGUACAUACUUGAUUGCAUUGUUUAGGACAUGACACAGCGCUGCAAGCAGCUCAUAAGAGUAGUUAGCAAACGCAAAUCAUUGUAUAUGUCACUUAUGCUUCUCUUAAUAGAAAAUAGUACUAUUUUGGAGAAGGGCAUCUGGCUGACUUUCAAUAAAACUCUUCAGGUUUUGUUUGGUGAGAUUCUCUUCAGAAAACAAGAUUUGUAUUGGUGAUAGAUCGACAGCAACUGACAGCAUCUUCGUCAUCCGCGGUGGCAGUGCCCUCCACGCGGAAUGCCUUCUGCGGCCGCGCCGCCGCCACCGACACCGCCAUGCAGCCAAUGAUGUCGGCAUGUGGUGAAAAAAGGGCCCAAGUGAAAGGUCGACCAAGCUAUAAAAAUUCAGUGAGAGGAAUUUUUGUGCUCACAGCUCACACCAUGGCGUUCGUUGCCUCUGUUCUUACUUUAUUAUUUUGUUUUUCCCUUUGUCGAUUUUUCACGUCGCCUGACAAGAACAAGAAUUGCAAAGAAGAAGUGAAAAGAAAACACAGAACAAAGGAUGAACGCCGGAGAGCACUACUAUAUAAUUUUCCCCCAAAAUAUGAUGGGCAGUGGUGUGCUUGUUUGCAUUGAUCGCAUGGUGGCCAGCACUUCACCACACAUCUGACGGCGACUGUUUUAUCCAUGAGGUGGAGGAUAAGAGAAGCGCAUCUCUGAAAUUCACAGUUUUGAACCUAAAGAGACACAUCUAGAAAAUGAUUGCACGAGUGGUUCCAGUGUCAUGUGCGUCAACAUGGUUGGAGAUUUGGGAUCGGAUGCUGCGCCAAGAGCGAGGGACCGAGGUGCUGAACUAACAGCAGGGGGAGGGUGAUUCUUCAGGUACCAACAUGGCUGUCGACUAGAGAAUUUAGUUAACCGUUUGCUUUACUUGAAGCUCCAAAUUGUAGUUAUUUUAUUCGUUCACUAAUUUGGUAUAAUCCUAAUCUAGGAGGACUAUGAUUGUAUGAUAUGAGAUCCUGACAUUUAGCAAUAAUAAAGGUCUGACACUGAAUGGUUCUUUUCGGAAGUACAGUUGUAAGAUCUAAGAUUCUAGCUUCGACCUUUAACUGGACAGUACUAAUUGGACAUAUAAUUGAUUAUUUAUGCACAACAAGAUAUUCUGUUUGUUUUAGUUUUUCAAUCAGAUUCAUCUAGCCCUUUGUUGACUUUCUAAUUGUUCCACCCUCUACCUCUGAAACUCAGAAAUCAGAGAAAGGUCAUUGGCAUAUCCCUAUUUCUGACGAAAAUUUGCUAGCGAGGAAGAGGACCAGAAUGUUUUUUCUAUUGUUGGGGAUAUACAUAAUACAUAUAGAUAAAUUUGGAUCAUUUAUAACAGAGAUUUCUUGCCAAAAAUAUUAACUCUGUCCAGCAGUGGGCACUGUCAAGGUAAUAACAGAAAUUUGCUGAACCUAAUUGAAAUAAAGAGGGAUGGUAAUCCGAUUGAGAACAUUCUCUAACUAAAAUAGACUUACGAACAAUAACAAUAUCAAAUAGUUUCAAAUUAACAAAUGUUGUUUGAUUAAAAUACUGAUUUAAGAAUUUGGCGAAUCUAUAAUUCUCUACAUAAUCACUUGGUGCAUUGUUAGACCACUUGGGGACAAUAUCAUCAAUUUCUUGCAUACUGCAAUAAUGCAAGUUUAAAAAGCCAGUUUCUUGUGUUUCUUAUUAUCUCUGUGUUCAGCUAACUGCCAAGAAUCAUAUAAGGAUGCAUCUAAUGAGGUAGAUUUUGUUUAUGCAUUUUUAAGUGUAAGGAUGUUGUAUCUGAUUAACAAAACAUUGUUCAACCUUCUAUGAGUCCACCUAGGGAGCUGCACAAAUUUGGAACAACUUCCAGAACAGGCAUCCAAGCAUUUUGGUCUGCUACCAGUAAGCUGCCAGAGCAAGAUAGCUGGGAGUCUGGGAUUUCGAGUCGUCGAGCCGUCCAAUGCCAAGUUCGCUGGCGGAAGGAGAACAUCCGUCAAGCCGUCCGUCGCCUGGGGCGGCUACACCAGAGUUUAUUUUUCCCGCCUCGCUGCUCAAUAGGUCUGUGGGUUACUACUCCUUUGCUCUUGCUGGUGACCGGCCUCCAGAGUAGCACUUGCUUGAGAUCUGAUCUAGAACUGAAUUGUGCCCUGCUUUGCUGUGGUCGUAUGCUUUGUGUCCACCGAUGAGUUUCAGAUACAGAUUAGGACCAAAAUUGGAGUAGGUUCGGCCGCGCAAAUGUUGUAUCACUUUGUCAUGGGUAUUGUGCUCCUGAAUUGCUUGUUGGACUGUUCAAACUAAAGUCGUCCAGUCAGUUUGCUACAAUGUUCAUUUGUUUACUUUGGAAGUUCUGUAGAAUUUGGGCGUGAUCACUUUCGAAUUUGUCUGUAUUCGUACGAGCAUUAAUAGCAUCUGGCCCACUCCUGCGAUGGCUUUUGCAGAAACG